UUAUACUCGUACCUUUUGCAUCAUGAUUUAGCUAGCAUCAUUAGGCAAAGAGAACUUUAGUCUAUACCCCCGAAACCAAGUGAGCUACUCCAAGACAGCCUAGUAUAUAGGGCAAACCCGUCUCUGUGGCAAAAGAGUGGGAAGAACUUUGAGUAGGGGUGACAGACCUAUCGAACCUGGUUAUAGCUGGUUGCCUGACAACUGGAUAGGAGUUCAGCCUUAAAGAUUCUUUUGAAACUUUAAGAGUUAAUCAAAGGGGGUACAGCCCCUUUGAUAAAAGACACAACUUUUACAGGAGGGUAAAGAUCAUAAUCCUCAAGGAACAACUGCUCUGGUGGGCCUGAAAGCAGCCAUCCCCUCAGAAAGCGUUAAAGCUCGAGCACUAUCCCGAUAACCCCAUCUUAUCCCCCUGAAUUUUAUCAGGCCGACCCAUGCCCCCAUGGGUGUGACCAUGCUAAUAUGAGUAAUAAGAGGGGCCCCUCUCCCCGCACACGUGUACAUCGGAACGAACCCCCACCGAAAAUUAAUCGGCCCCAAACAAAGAGGGCAGUUGGCGAAAACUAGAAAACCACCUACCGUUAACCCCACACCGGAGUGCAACUAGGGAAAGACUAAAAGAAAAAGAAGGAACUCGGCAAACAAGCCUCGCCUGUUUACCAAAAACAUCGCCUCUUGCACUAUAAGAG
rnacentral:rRNA from 1 species